rnacentral:rRNA from 1 species
UGCGCAGGCGGUUAUGUAAGACAGUGGUGAAAGCCCAUCGCUCAACGAUGGAACUGCCAUUGAUACUGUAAGACUUGAAUUUUUGUGAAGUAACUAGAAUAUGUAGUGUAGCGGUGAAAUGCUUAGAUAUUACAUGGAAUACCAAUUGCGAAGGCAGGUUACUAACAAACGAUUGACGCUGAUGGACGAAAGCGUGGGGAGCGAACAGGAUUAGAUACCCUUGUA